rnacentral:tRNA from 1 species
GGCCGCCUGGCGAAAUGGCAUCGCGUCUGACUACGAUGAAAAGUAUCAGGAGAUUGCAGGUUCGACCCCUGCGGUGGUCA